AGCGAACGUUUGCGGCGGGCCUAACACAUGCAAGUCGAACGGGCAGUCCCUUCGGGGGCUGUCAGUGGCGCACGGGUGCGUAACACGUAGGUAAUCAACCCUCGGGUUCGGGAUAACACUUCGAAAGGGGUGCUAAUACCGGAUGCGACGAGCGUCUCCUCGGAGAUGCACGGGAAAGAUCCGCAAGGGUCGCCCGAGGACGAGCCUGCGGCCCAUCAGCUUGUUGGUGAGGUAAUGGCUCACCAAGGCCAAGACGGGUAGCUGGUCUGAGAGGAUGAUCAGUCACACUGGAACUGAGACACGGUCCAGACUCCUACGGGAGGCAGCAGUGGGGAAUAUUGCGCAAUGGGCGAAAGCCUGACGCAGCCACGCCGCGUGAGCGAUGAAGGCCUU
rnacentral:rRNA from 1 species